rnacentral:lncRNA from 1 species
CACAACCCUUAGUGUCACCGUUCAUACCAUCAGUUCUCAAUCUUCUCGGAUCUGAGUUCAUAUCAACCUUACCGAAAGAGUAAUCCUUAUUUUGGUUCUAUCAAGUGGUAUCAGAGCCACUCUCUCGGUAACUCUAUUAUCAUUCCAUCUUCUCAUCUCUCCAUCUUCUUCAAACACUUCUUCUUCUACCUUUCUUAAAUUCGGGCCCCUCAUUACCAUCCAUAUAUAUAUAAAAAAAAAAGAUUUACGAUUUGAUUCAAAAAAAAAAAAAAAAAAAAAAAGUUCAAAGUUUGUUUUGUGGAUUGGUGGUGGAAGAGAAAGCCUGCUGGCUGAGGAGAAAUCCAGCCUUUGAGGUGGUUAAAACGGAUUUCAAAAAUCAAAAAUCUCUUAUCUUUCUAUCUUGAGAAAAUUCCCUUGUUUGCUUGGAUUUUCCCAUUGGGAUUCUUUGAUUUGUUCUCUUAGAACAUUGAGUAAAAACUUGUGUGUGAUCACCUAAAUCUGAGAGAAACACUUUUGUGGGUGAGGAUCAAACACUUGAGAGUGUGAGGUUUUUAUCUACUAACUUUGGUGUUGAGAUUUUCCAGGUUUAUGAUGUUUGGUUUGCAAAGAAAAAGUAACAAGGAGAAGCCUCAACGAAAUUCUAACUCUCAAACUCCUUUUAAAUAUCCUUUGAAUUAUUUUGAUGAGUUUGUUAGUGUGCAGGAACAGCCAGCUGUAAGGAGAAAAACAACCAGAGAUGUGGCUGAUCCAAAAAGGCAACCCUUUCAAAUUGAUGUCCAACAAAUUUGUGAUAACCUUGUGAAGGGAGUGGACAAAGCCCUUAAGGACUUCAGCAAGAGCCAAAAGAAGAGCACAUCUACACGUGCCCCAGUAGCUGAGCCAUCCUUGUUCAUCAGUAAGAAAGCCCAAGGUGAAUCUGAAAACCAUUUUGAAGAACUUAUAGAUUUUUCAGAUUCUCUACCCAUUUUUGAUGAAUCUGAUGAAGAGCUAAUUGAAAGCUUGAUGUUUUGUGAAAAAGAUUGUGAUCUUCCUUCUCUUGAAACUGAGUUUAAUCUUGAUAAUGAACAAGCUAUUGUAGAACUAACUGUUUUGCAACCGGAGCUUCCGAGUAGUCUUGUUUUGUCUCCACAGGUUUUUGAGGAAGAGCCACUGGAUUUUCCACAUCAGUGCCCAUGUCUUGACACUAGGAUAUGUUUGGAUGAUGAUCUAGGUCCUAUCUUUGAUGAGGAGGACGAAACUGGUCCAGUCUUUGAUGAAGAAGCAACAAGCAUCACAUCCAUUGCUAUGGAGAAUUAUCUAUGCUUUGAUCCCGGCACAACUCCUGCCCCUUUACCUCCGGAUCUUCAAGAGCACUGUGAGGAACCUUCUUCUCUUAAUUCUCUGCCUGACAUGUUUGUGAAAGUCAGUACUGAUGAUGUAAUUCGUUUUGGUCUUGACAAGAUGAAAGAUUUUUUUGUUUCAAAAUCUGUUUUUGAUAACAUGAUUUAUUCUUUAAAAAUCUUUGAACCUGAUAAAUGUCUUGAUCAAUCACGUUUUCAAAGUGUCAAUGGCAUCACUUCUGGAAUUAUUUUGAGCUUUGAUCAGUUCUUGGAACAUAACAAAGGUUUUCAUCUUCUUGGAAGGCCAUUUGAUCUUGAUUUGCAACAAACUGAUUUUUGUGCUGAAAAAUCUCUUGAUUCGUUAGUUUGCAAAGGAAAUAGCUUUGAUCUGAGUUCUUCUAGACAUGUACUGAUCACUGAUGAAUUGUUUGCAUCCUCUUAUGCCUUGGACGAAAUUUUGAUUCAGAAGUUGCUGGAACAGAAAUCACUUGAAACUGAAAAUGAUUUUCGUGAUCUUGAAUUUUGUGGUUCUGUUUUGCAGCCUGAUCUCUUGAGUUUUGAAACUGAUAAUACUUGGCAUUUUCUGAGAUCAUUUCGUGAUAAUGGUGUUGUCUUGAGUUCUGAUGAUAUUUUGGUUUACAACACAUUCUUUGAGAAAUGCCUUGAACUUUUGAUAAAUGAUUCUCAAACUGAACUUAAGCUUGUGUGUUCAGAUGUUGGGAAGGAUAUGCCCAUUUUGAAAAUGAAUACUGUUGUUGCAUAUCUUGAUAAAAUUCUUGUCUGUAAUAUUUACUUUGAUGAGCACCUUGAAAGGCUGAAAAAUGUGCAAUUUGUUCUUGGAAAAGAUAUCUUGAUUUGUGAUUUGAACAAAUAUUUAUCUUGCACAUUUGAUCCUGGUCUUUUAGUGUUUGUUUUGAGUAUCCAGGAAAGACAGGUUCAGCCUCUGAAUGAAAGCAUUGGCCGUGCCCAACAACCUCAGAUUUGGAGAAGCUUUGUUGUUCAAACCGGCUACCUUGGUGCCAGCGACAGAGGUUCAGUCCAAGAAAGAUAUCUCAACAGUACGAAGGUCUUUUGUCUUGAAUCCAAUUUUACAAGAAAGCCAACUCAUCAAGGAUUCACUGAGGCUUGGAAUCGCAUGAAAAGCUUCACGGAUGAAGAAGUUAUGAAUUUUCCAAACCGGAGGUUCUUCAGUCCAUCUAUCCGCGAGUACCAGAUUUCUAAAGGAGAUUCAUGUCCCAGAAAGAAUCGACCUGAGCCAAAACCGAUCCUCCAUGAACCAAAGGUGUUUCCUCGGUCAUUCUCCUGUCUAAACCAAAAGCACUGUAAGGAUCAUGAGUUGAUUGCCUUUACUCUUCAUGAAAAUGUUUUGAAACCGAGAAUUUCAAAAAGAAAACAUAUUCUUACUUGGUUGAAAAACGUUUUGCUCAAACCUUUUCAUGAAUUGAUUUCAUUGAGCUGUGCUUUGAAAGAGAUUUGGUGUAGGAAAAAGCAUGAACUAAAAUUGCUUAGGCCAAAGAAUUCAUUUGAUUUCGUUCAUGAUGAUAAUUUUUCAAAUUUUGCAUUGUCUCUUUCUUUCCAUAACAGUUUCUCACCUUGGCCUGAUUUUGAGAUUGAUAAAUCAAUUUUUGGCAACCAGCUUACUUGCUUAAUGCUUGCCCACGUCCUUGAUGAUUAUCCUAAGGGCAUGGAUCCUGAUUUUGAUGUCUUAAGGAUAGAGAAACCCUUUGAUUAUUUCUUUGGCAGAUUUGAUGUGGUUUCUCUAGUUGCUUUGGAUAAACAGGAUAAGCAUGAUCAGUUUCUAAGGAGAGCAAGCACCAAUGGACGCCAAAGUACUUGGAAUUCCUUGAUAAAAAUGACUUCAAAACUCCAAGGAAGUUUCUGUCCAUUCUAUUCAUUUACUGAAUUUCCCUUGAAUUUUAAUUUCUUUGUAUCUGAUUUAUCUCUUUUUGAUAUAGGUACAUUGGAUUUGAGGACAAAUCCUUUUGAAGAAAGAGGGAAUGAUAGAACGCGGUCCACGGAUCUGUACAUGGAGCCGAACCAUCAUGAAGUUCAGGACGUUCUGAAGUUUUCAACCGAGGUUCAUGAUUUUCACCAUACUGGCCAGACUGACCGGACUGUCCCAAAUGCAUCCGGAUGUGAGCUUUGGCUGGAACCAUGGCCAGAUGAUCGAUUUCACUGUACUGGACUUUGUCUUGACCGUCCUGUUUUCCAUUUGAUGAAGAACAGUCGAGACGUAAUCGCAUUCGGACGCACGGAUCCUGAGUUAGGUCAUUGCUAUACAUUUCUGGACAGUACCACAUGUACAGCCCGGAUGUCCAGUUUGAGGCUUCAUCAAUACCCAUGUCCAGACGAUCGAAUUCACCGAACUGGAGCUCGUAUUUCCCGUACUGAUUGACAUUUUAAGAGCAACGGUCGAGACAGAUUUGGAUUCGGACGAGUGGAACUCAAGAUAGGCCGUGACACUUCAAAACUGGCUACUUUGGACUGUCCUGCUUGUGUACUGGCCCAGUCCGCAGGACAUGCUUCAGGAAGCAAUGAACCUGGACGGAAUUUGAAGGGUUUUUCACUAGUCAAAGUGUGAUUUCGUGCCUUGACCAGAUCUGGUCAAUUUUAUCAUUUUCUAUGUUUAGAUUUCCCACAUUUUUCUUUAAGUCUUUUGACUAGAACUUCUAUAUAAUGUAACCAUCAGAUCUGAAUAAGAUAAUUUCGUUUUUGCUUUCAUUCUUUUGAGUUUUUACUCUCUUUGUUCUUUGUUAGAACAUUUCUUAGUUUCUUGGUGAGGUUAUCUCCAAGUUUCGAUCCUUCUUUUGUUGGACCGGUGCGUCACAUCCGGCAACGAUCGAAGUCUGGUAGUAUCUUUGGGCUAUUCCGCAACCCUUAGUGUCACCGUUCAUACCAUCAGUUCUCAAUCUUCUCGGAUCUGAGUUCAUAUCAACCUUACCGAAAGAGUGAUCCUUAUUUUGGUUCUAUCAAGUGGUAUCAGAGCCACUCUCUCGGUAACUCUAUUAUCAUUCCAUCUUCUCAUCUCUCCAUCUUCUUCAAACACUUCUUCUUCUACCUUUCUUAAAUCCGGGCCCCUCAUUACCAUCCAUAUAUAUAUAAAAAAAAGAUUUACGAUUUGAUUCAAAAAAAAAAAGAAAAAAAAAGAAAAAGUUCAAAGUUUGUUUUGUGGAUUGGUGGUGGAAGAGAAAGCCUGCUGGCUGAGGAGAAAUCCAGCCUUUGAGGUGGUUAAAACGGAUUUCAAAAAUCAAAAAUCUCUUAUCUUUCUAUCUUGAGAAAAUUCCCUUGUUUGCUUGGAUUUUCCCAUUGGGAUUCUUUGAUUUGUUCUCUUAGAACAUUGAGUAAAAACUUGUGUGUGAUCACCUAAAUCUGAGAGAAACACUUGUGUGGGUGAGGAUCAAACA